rnacentral:rRNA from 1 species
GAUGAACGCUGGCGGUGUGCCUUAUACAUGCAUGUCGAACGAGGCGUAGCAAUACGUCUAGUGGCAAAUGGGUGAGUAAUAAAUAGGUAACCAACCCUUAAGACGGGGAUACCCCAUCGAAAGAUGGAAUAAUACCCGAUAAUGUCCCUUCCGGUGCGCUGGAGGGGAAGAAAGAUGGCGCAAGCUAUCACUUUUGGACGGGCUUAUUUCCUAUCAGCUAGUUGGCGGGGUAAUGGCCCACCAAGGCGAUGACGGGUAGCUGGCCUGAGAGGGUGACCAGCCUCGAUGGGACUGAGACACGGCCCAUACUCCUACGGGAGGCAGCAGUUGGGGAUUUUGCACAAUGGGCGCAAGCCUGAUGCAGCAACACUGCGUGAAGGAUGAAGGUUUUCGGAUCGUAAACUUCUUUUGUGUGGGAAUAAUCUUGAAGGUACCACACGAAUAAGCACCGGCUAACUACGUG